rnacentral:rRNA from 1 species
UACAGAGGUCUCAAGCGUUGUUCGGAUUCAUUGGGCGUAAAGGGUGUGUAGGUGGCGCGCUAAGUCGGGUGUGAAAUCUCGGGGCUCAACCCCGAAACUGCACUUGAUACUGCCUUGCUGGAGUACUGGAGAGGAGAUUGGAAUUUACGGUGUAGCAGUGAAAUGCGUAGAUAUCGUAAGGAAGACCAGUGGCGAAGGCGAAUCUCUGGACAGUUACUGACACUGAGGCACGAAGGCCAGGGGAGCAAACGGG